rnacentral:lncRNA from 1 species
UGAGAUCAAGAUAUGCAAAAUACACACGGAUCUGAACAUUUCUGAUCUGUUGACAAAACCACUCCUGCAGGCUAAGCAUGAUGCGCAUGUAAGAGCUAUGGGUAUUAGGUACCUUCUAGAUUUACUCUAGUGCAAGUGGGAGACUGUUGGAUGUAUGCCCUAGAGGCAAUCAUCGAGAUGAUGAUAUUCCAAUUGUAUCCAUGAUUUAUAUUGUGUUCCUUGAAUAUCCAUUAAAGGCUACUUGAAUUGAUUUGCAAUUAUGUGAAUUGUGU